rnacentral:rRNA from 1 species
AUUGAACGCUGGCGGCAUGCCUUACACAUGCAAGUCGAACGGCAGCACGGACUUCGGUCUGGUGGCGAGUGGCGAACGGGUGAGUAAUGCAUCGGAACGUACCCGGUAGUGGGGGAUAACUACCCGAAAGGGUGGCUAAUACCGCAUAUACUGUGCGCAGGAAAGCAGGGGACCUUCGGGCCUUGUGCUACCGGAGCGGCCGAUGUCAGAUUAGGUAGUUGGUGGGGUAACGGCCUACCAAGCCUGCGAUCUGUAGCGGGUCUGAGAGGAUGAUCCGCCACACUGGGACUGAGACACGGCCCAGACUCCUACGGGAGGCAGCAGUGGGGAAUUUUGGACAAUGGGCGCAAGCCUGAUCCAGCCAUGCCGCGUGAGUGAAGAAGGCCUUCGGGUUGUAAAGCUCUUUCGGACGGAAAGAAAUCGCGCAGGCUAAUACCCUGCGCGGAUGACGGUACCGUCAUAAGAAGCACCGGCUAACUACGUGCCAGCCGCCGCCGUAAGAC